rnacentral:rRNA from 1 species
UAUUUGAGAGGAGCUGCCCCUAGUACGAGAGGACCGGGGUGGACGGACCACUGGUGUAUCAGCUGUCGACCAACGGCAUAGCUGAGUAGCCAAGUCUGGACGGGAUAAACGCUGAAGGCAUCUAAGCGUGAAGCCCCCCUCAAGAUGAGAUAUCCCAUUCCUUCAAGGAAAUAAGAUCCCUUAUAGACGAUAAGGUAGAUAGGUUCAAGGUGUAAGUGCGGUAACGCAUUCAGCUGAUGAAUACUAAUAGAUCGAAGGUUUAUUCUA